AUACGUAGGUGGCAAGCGUUGUCCGGAAUUAUUGGGCGUAAAGCGCGCGCAGGUGGUUCCUUAAGUCUGAUGUGAAAGCCCCCGGCUCAACCGGGGAGGGUCAUUGGAAACUGGGGAACUUGAGUGCUGAAGAGGAUAGUGGAAUUCCAAGUGUAGCGGUGAAAUGCGUAGAGAUUUGGAGGAACACCAGUGGCGAAGGCGACUGUCUGGUCUGUAACUGACACUGAGGCGCGAAAGCGUGGGGAGCAAACAGGAUUAGAUACCCUGGUAGUCCACGCCGUAAACGAUGAGUGCUAAGUGUUGGGGGGUUUCCGCCCCUCAGUGCUGCAGCUAACGCAUUAAGCACUCCGCCUGGGGAGUACGGUCGCAAGACUGAAACUCAAAUGAAUUGACGGGG
rnacentral:rRNA from 1 species